AUGGACAUGAAGCUCUCCACUCAAUCGCUGGGUACCCUGCUGCUCUGGCUCCUCUUGGGUGUCAAGUGUGACAUCCAGAUGACCCAGUCUCCAUCCUCCCUGUCCACCUCUCUAAGAGAGAGAGUCACGAUCACCUGCCAUGCAAGUCAGGGCAUUAGUGACUACUUAGCCUGGUAUCAGCAGAGGCCAGGGGAAUCACCUAAGCUGCUGAUCUAUGAAGCAUCCAGUUUGCAACCUGGUGUUCCAUCGAGAUUCAGUGGCAGUGGAUCUGGGACAGAUUUCACUCUCACCAUCAGCAGCCUAGAGCCUGAAGACAUUGCAACUUACUACUGCCAACAGUAUAACAACUGGCCUCCCACAGUGAUACAAGCCAUAACACAAACCACCCAGGCAGUAGAAGUACAAGGCUGCACUUCCCAGCUGAUCCUCUUGUGCCCACCUGCUGCUGGCAUUUCUUCAGAUGCAUUCAGACUCUGCAGGUAA